AUCUUGAAAAUUAAAGAAUUUGGCGGUAUUUUAGUCUAUUCAGAGGAACCUGUCCUAUAAUUGAUAGUCCACGAGUUAUUUUACUUGUUUUAUUAAUUUGCAUAUCGCCGUAGAUUGAAUAUUUUAAAAGAAUUAUAAAUAUUCAAAAUUUAUUUUAAUAAAGGAAUUCAGGUCAAGAUGUAGUUUAUAAACAAGUAGAGAUGGGUUACAAUAAAUAUAUUUAUAAUGAAUUAAUAAAAUGAAAUUUUUUUAUAAAGGUGGAUUUGAAGGUAAUUUUGUUUAAACUAAUAAAGUGAUUUUAGCUCUAAAAUAUGCACAUAUCGCCCGUCGCUUUCAUUAUAAAAUGGAAUAAGUCGUAACAAAGUAGAUGUACUGGAAAGUGUAUCUAGAAAGCAGAUUAUAGCUUAUAAAGUGUUUUAGUUACAUUAAAGAGAUUAUUGUAGAUUCAAUAUAAUUUGAGUUUUAAAUUAUUAUUAUUAUUAUUGGUUUAUUUAAUAUUAAAAUAAAUAGAUUUAUUUUUUAUUAAAAAUUGUGAAAAAAUAUUUUUAAUUAUAGAUAAUUAGUAUUGUCAGAGAAAUUUAUUUAAUAUUAAAAAGAAGAAUUAAUUUUUUGUACCUGGGUAUCAGGGUUUAUAAAAUUUAUAUUAAAAAUUUAAUUAUCUCGAAUUAAUAAGAGUUAUUUUUAUAUUUUUAUUUUGUUGAAUAAAAAUUAUUAAUAUAAUUAUAGAUGCGAAACACUAUUCGAUUAUUAAUAUAUCUAGUUUUUUAAGAAAAAAAUUUAAUUUUUUUAUUAGUUUAAUAUAAUAUUUAUUUUAUAAUUUUAUAUUUAUUAAUAUAUUAUAUUCUAAGGGAUAAGCUUUAGUGUAAAAUUUAUUUAAAAAUAUAGUUAUUUUAUAAAGUAGGAUUAUAAGUUUUCGUCUUUAAGAUUGUGUUACAACUUUUUGAAUUAUUAUUAUAAUUUAUAUAAUUUUGUAGUUUUUUAUUUAAAUAUAAAUUUUAAUUUAAAAAAUUUAGAAAUAAUGAUAAAAUUAGUAUAUUAUUCUGUUUAAUAAGAUUAUUUUGAUAUGUAAGGUAAAGGAAUUCGGCAAAUAAUUUUCCACCCGUUUAUUAAAAACAUGGCCUUUUGAUUAUAAUUUAAGGUCGGGCCUGCCCAAUGAAAUAAAAUUUUAAUGGCCGCGGUAUUUUAACCGUGCAAAGGUAGCAUAAUCAUUAGUUUUUUAAUUGAAAGCUGGAAUGAAAGGUUUAAUGAGAAAAAAGCUGUCUCUGUUUUAUUUAGUUAGAAAUUUAUUUUUAAGUAAAAAAGCUUAAAUAUUAUUAGAAGACGAGAAGACCCUAUAGAGUUUAAUUUAUAGCAAGAAUAAGAUUUUUAGUAUUAAA
rnacentral:rRNA from 1 species